GAUUAUGUGGCCGAUUGUAGGUGUUAGUCUCUUAAAUUAAUUAAGACUUAAUUA
rnacentral:tRNA from 1 species